GUGAAUUCCAGCUGCCUUGGACUUCCUAACUUCAUCUCUGGUUUUUCAUCUUAAAGUAGAAGCUAUAGAAAUGUUUGUGUCAUCCGAGAGUCACACAGAUGAAUGCUGGCCAUGCCAUUCAUACCCUUUCUCCAGGAGGUGAUGCUCUGUCAGCUGGCAAGAGUCUGGCUUGACAGGCAACCUCAGCCCUGAUGUGCAGAUCCCAGUUCCUGUGGCUUCCAGAAUGAAAAUUCGACUGCAUCAUCCAUGUUUAGCCCUUGGAUUUAGCCCAUGGAUUCCCUCAGGUCUUUGGGGGUGCCUACAGCCUCCCAUGCCUGGGCCCUGUCUCCCACUCCAGCUGCAUCUCUUACUAUGUCCUCCUUGAGGUUUCCUCAUUCCUGACCAUCUGCAGUUCUGCAAAGAUGUCCUGGACACAGCAGACACAGAGCAUGGGGAGAGACAGCCCAACCUACAUAGAGGAGGGGUGGGUAGUAGGGGAAGGAAACGCCUUAAGAUAGGCAGAGGGGACCACAUUUCCUUCUAAUCACAGUCAGAUCCGCUGUAGCAAUUUUUUCUGAAUGGGUUAUUUCACAAGCACUUACUGAGCACCUAAAAUGUGCUAGUACCUAGCCUAGGAGGUGAGUAGUAAACUAUGUCGCCCUCUAAAGGACAGCAUUCAGCAUAGGGCAGACACUGAGUGCAACAACACAACAAUGGGAUUCUCAGAACAUAGGGUGCUCAGGGAGAGGGGAAGUUAAGUAUGCCUUGGUCUGGGCAAGGGACAGUGAUAUGGUU
rnacentral:lncRNA from 1 species